GACGAACGCUGGCGGCGUGCUUAACACAUGCAAGUCGAACGGAAAGGCCCUGCUUUUGUGGGGUGCUCGAGUGGCGAACGGGUGAGUAACACGUGAGUAACCUGCCCUUGACUUUGGGAUAACUUCAGGAAACUGGGGCUAAUACCGGAUAGGAGCUCCUGCUGCAUGGUGGGGGUUGGAAAGUUUCGGCGGUUGGGGAUGGACUCGCGGCUUAUCAGCUUGUUGGUGGGGUAGUGGCUUACCAAGGCUUUGACGGGUAGCCGGCCUGAGAGGGUGACCGGCAACAUUGGGACGGAGAUACGGCCCAGACUCCUACGGGAGGCAGCAGUGGGGAAUAUUGCACAAUGGGCGGAAGCCUGAUGCAGCAACGCCGCGUGCGGGAUGACGGCCUUCGGGUUGUAAACCGCUUUCGCCUGUGACGAAGUGUGAGUGACGGUAAUGGGGAAAGAAGCACCGGCUAACUACGU
rnacentral:rRNA from 1 species